UACAGAGGGUGCGAGCGUUAAUCGGAAUUACUGGGCGUAAAGCGUGCGUAGACGGUUAUCUAAGUCAGAUGUGAAAGCCCCGGGCUCAACCUGGGAAUUGCAUUUGAGACUGAAUAGCUAGGGUGCGGUAGAGGCAGGUGGAAUUCCCGGUGUAGCGGUGGAAUGCGUAGAGAUCGGGAAGAACAUCAGUGGCGAAGGCGGCCUGCUGGGCUGUUGCUGACGCUGAGGCGCGACAGCGUGGGGAGCAAACAGG
rnacentral:rRNA from 1 species